UACGGGGGGGGCAAGCGUUACUCGGAAUUGCUGGGCGUAAAGCGUGCGUAGGUGGUUUGUUAAGUCUGAUGUGAAAGCCCUGGGCUCAACCUGGGAAUUGCAUUGGAUACUGGCAGGCUAGAGUGCGGUAGAGGAUGGCGGAAUUCCCGGUGUAGCAGUGAAAUGCGUAGAGAUCGGGAGGAACAUCUGUGGCGAAGGCGGCCAUCUGGACCAGCACUGACACUGAGGCACGAAAGCGUGGGGAGCAAACAGG
rnacentral:rRNA from 1 species